rnacentral:lncRNA from 1 species
GGAAAUAACUUACUGGAUAUUCUGGGCAACCACGAAAUGGGCCAAAGCAGUGAAAUCAGCCCUGAAUUCGAUGUGGGAAAUAUGGUUGUUGAGGUGAUCUUCCUGAACAGGUGGUGCAGGCUGAUCCCUAUUUCUUCUUCCGUUGUUUCUCUUGGGAGACAUUUUCUAUAAGUAAAUGAAGGAUGAGUUAUAAAAAGGGAAUUCAAUAGAUCUCAUGCUCUUUUGCACAACAUGAAUAUUGAAAAAAGAGAAAGUUUUUCUUAAAUGUCUCGCAACCUCUGGCCUAUAAGUGUGGCACGCUCAUACCCAUGCAUAAGACUCUACUCAAUGUGACUUCAGAUGCCCUAAGACACUUUAAAAAUUUAGGCUCUGAUACAAAGUUUUGUCACAACCUGAUGCUACCCCCUAGUUGCGACACGGUGCUUAUGGUCACAAGUGACACCAAGCUAACUCAUGAUCUAGUACCUAAUGUGAGCACUAGAUAAAAAAUAAUGAAAUAACAUGUGCGAAAGAUAAAACAAUACUAACAUACCCGAACAACUGACAAGGAAACUGAAACAAGUCUAAAAGUUUGAACACUAAAGUGACUAUCUGUCUGAAAGCUUCUAAAAUCAUAAGGAGUUGAUGUUACAAACCCCCAACUAACUUCGAUUGAUUGAACAUAAUGAAGUACUGAAACAACUGUAAUAUCAUGUCAUGUCCUCAAUGGAUAAGGACUCACCAUUACUGCUGCUGGAAAAUAUUGAACUAUAUAAGGAUGGUUGGGGAACUGAGCGCCUGAACCUAUGUUAUAAGACAAUAUAGCGCGAAAGAAAAGUAUGUGAUCAGUACUUUAAAUGUACUGGUACGUGAGGUAAGGAUUGAAUAAAAUACAUAUGGAAUUGAACAUGGAUGCAUGAUCAUGUGAAAACUGAGAAAGUAAUGCAUGACCUGAAUAAAUCUAAAAAACUGCCUGACUAAAUAACUGAAAAUCUGACUACUUAGUCAAGCAAACCUGAACUGAUAUAUACUGAAACUGUGAGAGGUAUCAUGUAACCGACAUGCCCCAAUUUGAGUUAAUCAGGGUCUAUCUUGUAACCCUAAUUGAAAGGGUGUCAGUACCUUGCCACGAGUACUAACACAUGAUUGUGUGGAUCCACUAAUCUAUUGUCCUAAAGGACCAGGGUGUUAAGCCUAAAGUGACAGGUGACUACUAAGAAGAAGUCAACCCUGAACCAAUGGGUGAUCCGUCAUAACCUAUGCUCGUUACAUAGUUCUGGAACUUAGGGAUUGCUACUAAUGACUCUACCUAAACUGGCGGGGGAGCUGUCAUCCCUGUGUUCACUUGGUGCUAAAUCCUACUCCUAAGUGAACUGACACUAGUAUUAUUUUUUUUUAACAUAACGUGGUAUUAUACUGAUAAGUGCUCAGCAUGAACAUGAUAUUCUGAAUAUAGUAAUGAAAUUAUGGUAUGAAUAACUUGUAACUUGAAAAUAAAGACACGUGUAAGCGGAUAGGUAUCGGGUGGUCAUAACCCUCCAACACUAAAUGAUCACAAAAUACCAUAACAACUCUUAAAACAAUGAUAUAAAGUCAUAGUUUAAAGACCCAAAAUAGAAAAAAGUCAUCAUUUCCACCCUACAUUAUACCUGAAAAGUCGAAAACACACUUAAACUAUUAAAGUGACGUAAUACAUACCUAAACUAUUUAAAAGUGAAUCUUUUUACACCCUAACACACGUACAACCAGUCUCAUGCUGGGAGGUGUUCUGCACUCGCCACACGUCAUCAAUAUGUCACUGUCACGUCAGAUAUUAUGUGAAAAUUAUAAUAAAUAAAUUUCAUGCCACUAUUAUUGCUUCUUCCUCACUAUACAUCAUCAAUUCACCAUUGAAGAACCACCAUUGAGGCUAUUAUCACCCACAUCUCCAUCACAAUUAUUUUCACAAAAUACCAUCAAAUUCAACGUUACACCCAAAUAUUCUUACUAUUAAAAUCCGCAACAACGUUUUUACUAGAUUUUUAUUUUUACCAUAAUUGUUGAUCUUUCAUGGGAGACAACUCGUUCAUAUUUAUUUUUCUUCUUUUGUUAAUAACUUAUUUAUUUUUGUUUCAUCACUAUCAAAAACACACAAAUUUACUUAACAACUCCCAUUUCACUAUAAUAAUGCUAAAAAAGUUCAAAUUUUUACAAGAGAAAUUUAAGAUGACCCACAAAAAAUCGAAAUCAAAAGUCGCAUAUUAGUUUUCUUCACAAUAUCCACAACCAUUGUUAUUAUCGAAAUUUACAACAACAAUCACCAUGAACUUUUGCAUACACCAUCAAAAUCACAACAUUAUCAUUGUCAAUCAUCAAAAAUAAAAACAUAUCCACUAUUCAUUUUUUCAUCAAUCACCAACUUCACCACUAAAUUGUGAAGAAUAAGUACUCAAUUAAUGAGAAAAAUAGAUCUAACGAAGUAAAAUGUUUGUGAUAAAAAAAAUGAAGAAGAGGAAAGGGACAAAAUGAAAAAAAAAAAAAGAACAAGAGAGGUUGCCACUGAUGGAGAGGAGGCUAUGCAUUUUUUUUUCUUUUUUUUUUCCUUUUCUGUUUUGGUUUUAUUCCAAUAGAAAUAAGCAAUGUUCAUGGAAGAUCUGCAACUAAUAUUUCCUACAAUAUCUAUUAAACAAUAAAGAGAUAAAAUUUUAAGUAUUGAGCUUAAAUUAUUUUUCUUGUUUUCUAGAAGAAGAACUUUACCUUGCAACUUCUUUAAAUUUUUUAUUGGUAAAAAAGUCCACGUAGCUGUAUUUUAAAAGAAAAAAAUAAAAAACAAGCCUGAUUUUUUUUUCUUUUUAGUUUGUUGCCACAUCAGCUUCUAGGGUGUAAAUAAAUUCACUUUUAAAUAGUAUAAGUGUGUAAUAGGUCGUUUCAAUAGUUUAGGUGUAAUUUCGACUUUUCGAAUAUAGUUUAGGAUAGAAAUGAUGAUUUUUCUCACUCAAAAUAUAAGACAUUUCAAUACGUGAGUAAGAUACACGAAUUUGAGCAUGGGGAUGUGUUAAACUUAGGAGGAUAGCAAUUUCACAUGAUUUAAUUCAUAACAUGGUGAUUUGACAUGGGAUGAAUUGAAUAUGACAUGAGUAAUUGAAAUUCAAAGCAUGAAGUAAUCUAAUUUACAUGGGAAAACAUGUUGACAUGGCUUGAAUUCGAAUUACUAAGAAAGAGCAUGGAUUAAAUUCAUCGUUGUCGCGCCCUAUUUCGAACCGAUCAAAACAACACACAACGUAUGGUGAUGUGUCGUGACUCUUGGGUUUUGAAAAUUCAGUUUUAGAGUCGCCACCUAAAUUUUUAGGAAAAUUAGGAAAAAUCAUUUUUUAUGUAGAAAACUCUAUUUUGGUCUAUCGAAAAUAUUUUGAGAUUCUGAGUAAGGAUUUGGGUUAUUCAAGGGAAAGGUGUUAGGCAUCCCUCAAAGCCUAUCCGAAGAUAGUUCUUAUGCUUAGUUUAGGAAAAAAUAGGAAAACUAUUAAUUCAUUAUUUGCGUAAUACGAUAAUAAAAAACUUUAUUAUUAUAUUUUAUUUGUUAUCUUGUAUAAAAGAAAGAAAACUUGAGGUACAACAAACGUUAUGCUACCACGAACAAGGGAAUAAUAUCAUUAUUGCAAAAUGUGCAUGUAUUUCAAAUGUAAAAUGGGUAUUAUGAUUCACACAUAUAUUUGAAGAGUGCACUAUUCUAUAAAGAAAUUUAGAAGUAUGCAAAGUUAAAAAUUAUUGUAGGGUAAAUGACAAUAUUUUUAUAAGAAUUUAUAUAUGAAAUGUGUAUUUUAGAGUAUGUAAAAAUAUGUGAAAAAUGGUUAAUAUGCAAGAAUUAUACACAGGAUAAUAGAUAAGUGUCGUAGUAUCGCGAGGGAGUUGUUUAAUCGAUAAUAGUAAUAAUAAUAAUAAUAAUAAUAAUAAUAAUAAUAAAAGAUAGUUAUUAUGAAAAUAAUACAAUAUACCUCACAUUUUCUUAAACCUAAAAACUGAAAAUUUGAGCGUUGAAAAGAUAAAAUAGCGUAAAAUGUUAAAAUUAUUUUAUAAAAAAUAAGUUAAAAUUAGCGGGUGGCCUUUUAGUAAAAUCUGAAUUUUAGUUAAUGCAUUUUCUUAUUAGAUUAGUUUUAAAUUUUUUAUUGUUAUAUUUUAGGAAAGAUGUGGAGGUUACUAUGCUACCGAUUAUGAUAAAAAUAUAUUUUUCUUAGCGACAACCAUGUGCUAUUUGUAAAAAUGUGAUAAAUUUAAUCCAUUUUUAAAGGUGAUUUGCAAAUGUUAGAAUAAUAUAUAAACACAAUAAUCAAAUAAUGACACUUUAAACAAUUUUAACAAAGAUAAGAAUACUCAAAUAUCAAUUCAAUUAUCAAAAACUACUUAUCACAUGACGUGGAUAAUAAGAAAAAAGAAAGGCUAAAGUGAUACUAGACUUCUAAAGGAGUUCAAACUUUAUUUCGCGCGAUUUCGAAGCUCUCGUGAUCCUAGUGGCGAUUGACCCAAUUAGUUGGAUUAAGACGAGUCCCGUUGCGGAACUCCCAACUCCCAAGAAUGUACAUGAAACAAAUAAAGGAUAAAAGUAAUGAUAUAAACAAACAUUUAGGGAUAUAUAUAUAUAUAUAUAUAUAUAUAUAUAUAUAUAUAUAUAUAUAUAUAUAUUUGGCCCAACGUUCGUCUGGACGAAAGAACAUAACAUACAACUGUAAGCGAACAAACAACUAUAUGCUUCUACUGCAAAAAAACCUGAGGUUCAGUAACUCUAAGGGGAGAAUAAAAGUAAAGACCCACAAUCCAUUUUCCCUAUAUAAAAAUUGAAGGACUCCAAGACAACUUUUAAAUAUUAAUUACUUAAACAAGAUCUUAGCCUUUAGUUUUUAUUACUAGUAUGAUAGUCUGGACCCAAUAAAAUACUAAAAAAAAUUAAAUAAAAGAGAAGCGCAAAUUAAUCAUUUGUUAAAUAACGAUCACUUAAAAUUAUUAAAAGAUCCAACAAAACAAUUUCAAAUAUGAGUUGGCAAACUUUGAUUACUACGCGGCAUUAUACAGAUGAACAUAACCGUAAAUCUGAUUGAUGCACAAACCUGUUAGGGGAGGGAGUUACAUUAUUCAAAUCUUAUUUUGGGCAGCAAACUAGAGCUUUCCGUCAAGGAUCCCGGCCACCAGAUUCACACUCCAAAAUUCGAACGGAGACUAUUUCUCGCCUCUUUCUCUCUGUUGUUUUCGAUCACCCACUUUUCUUGUUCUCCGUGGCCCUUUCUCCUAAUUUCCCCCCUUGUCCUCUAGGGUUGAAGAACACCCUAUUUAUAGACCAAAUUCGAACUUGAACAUUCGGUUUUGAAACCAAAAUUGAAGAAGGAAACCCAAUAUCGAGAUGGAUUUGAAUUUUUGAAUCCAAAUCUUAUUUGCAUCCUUAUCCCCGAAAUUGUGCUGACUCCACUGUUGCGCGGAUUUUUGGGGUGUAGAAGAUGGGUUGCGCAGGGAGUUGGUGAAACUUUGCAGACUAUGGUAUUGUUGUGUUAGUCGAGUGAUUUUGGACUGAUUUUGAUUCGUUCGAUCUUUUCGUUGGAUGAUCCUAAAGAGAUUACCCUUAAGAAUAAUAGUAAAAAAAUAAGAAAAAGAAAAAUGUAUGUAUACAUGGAUAAAUAUAUAGAAA